rnacentral:rRNA from 1 species
UACGUAGGGUGCAAGCGUUGUCCGGAAUUAUUGGGCGUAAAGAGCUCGUAGGCGGUCUGUCGCGUCGGCUGUGAAAACCCGAGGCUCAACCUCGGGCCUGCAGUCGAUACGGGCAAACUAGAGUACUGCAGGGGAGACUGGAAUUCCUGGUGUAGCGGUGAAAUGCGCAGAUAUCAGGAGGAACACCGGUGGCGAAGGCGGGUCUCUGGGCAGUAACUGACGCUGAGGAGCGAAAGUGUGGGGAGCGAACAGG